AUUGAACGCUGGCGGCAGGCUUAACACAUGCAAGUCGAGCGAGCGGCGGACGGGUGAGUAAUGUCUGGGAAACUGCCUGAUGGAGGGGGAUAACUACUGGAAACGGUAGCUAAUACCGCAUAACAUCAGAUGUGCCCAGAUGGGAUUAGCUAGUAGGUGGGGUAAUGGCUCACCUAGGCGACGAUCCCUCGCUGGUCUGAGAUGAUGACCAGCCACAGUGGAGCUGUGACACGGUCCAUACUCCGACGGGAGGCAGCAUUGGGGAAUAUUGCAGACUGGGCGCAAGCCAGAUGCAGCCAUGCCGCGUAUGUGAAGCAGGCCUUCGGGUUGUAAAGCACUUUCAGCGAGGAGGCGUUACUCGCAGAAUAAGCACCGGCUAACUCCGUGCCAGCAGCCGCGGUAAUAC
rnacentral:rRNA from 1 species